rnacentral:miRNA from 1 species
UAGGAUCGUUUCAAGUGACACGUC